AAUCCCAGGAUGACAAUAAAAAAGAAUGGUGAGAGGGACAUACCUGAUCUCAGUGGGAAAGCUUCCAGUUUCUCAUCAUGAAGCUGAAUGUUAACUAAAAUUUGGCUUCAAAAUGUCUAGUAGAAAUGGCAUAAGGAAAGAGAUGAUUUAUUAAGCAAGAGUGUUCAUAAUUUAGCAAGAGUUGCUCAAAACGAAGCAGUUUUCUGACACUAGCCAGUUUUCCAAGGAUGUUCAUUGGGGCACAGAAAACACAUCUGGCCAAGAGAACAGAGGAGGAGCUCAAGAACAAAGUGCUGAAGCAUCACAUCACCUGUCUCUCAGAAAACCAGCAAGGCCUCAAAUCUGUGCAAAUGGUAUUGGCAAGAAGCAAGUCCUGCUGAGAAAUUAAAUGUUCAAAA